ACGACUACAUAUCAGGCAUAUCAAUAAGCGGAGGAAAAGAAACUAACAAGGAUUCCCCUAGUAACGGCGAGUGAAGCGGGAAGAGCUCAAAUUUGAAAUCUUAAAGGGUUUCCCUUUACGAAUUGUAGUUUAAAGAAGUGUUUUCUGUUGGAGUUUCGGUAAAAGUUCUUUGGAAUAGGACAUCAUAGAGGGUGAGAAUCCCGUAUUUGACCGUUACUUUCCAGCUGUGUGAUACACUUUCAAAGAGUCGGAUUGUUUGGGAAUGCAGUCCAAGAUGGGUGGUAAAUUUCAUCUAAAGCUAAUAUUGGCGAGAGACCGAUAGCGAACAAGUACCGUAAGGGAAAGAUGAAAAGAACUUUGAAAAGAGAGUUAAACAGUACGUGAAAUUGUCAAAAGGGAAGCGUUUGACACCAGUGUUGUUUAGUUGAAAAUCAAUUCAAUAGUUUUUGAUUCUAAGUAGUAUUGACUUCAUCAGCUUGCUGCUUUCUUCUACAGAAAUUAUUGAAUGCACUUUUCAGUUAACAAGUCAACAUCAAUUUCUUUUGUUGUAAAAGGGUAAGAGGAAGGUGGCUUGCGCUUCGGCUCAAGUGUUUAUAGCCUUUUAUCUCUGCAAUCGGAGAGAUUGAGGUCUGCAGCGUAGAUCCUUCGGGGUUAGAUACAUUGGUGCUAAGCUAUAGCCUUGUAUAGACAACUUGUUGACUAUGCUCAGUCAUGUAGCUUACUCGCUGAUGCUAUUUUACCUACGCUUAGGAUGUUGAUCUACAGAGCGAGAGU
rnacentral:rRNA from 1 species